rnacentral:pre_miRNA from 1 species
AUGGUACUUCCUCCGUCCCAAAUUACUUGUCGCAGAAAUGGAUGUAUCUAGAACUAAAAUACAUCUAGAUACAUCCAUACUUGCGACAAGUAAUUUGGAACGGAGGGAGUAGAUG